rfam:Xenopus tropicalis strain Nigerian Chr04_contig_2183, whole genome shotgun sequence.
UGGCUGGUAGGAUUCCUGGCAGAGUGAUUUGGAAAUGUAUGGUACAAAAUCACAUUGCCAGGGAUUUCCAAUCAGUC